rnacentral:rRNA from 1 species
AUUGAACGCGGCGGCAUGCUUUACACAUGCAAGUCGAACGGCAGCGGGGUAGUGCUUGCACUACUGCCGGCGAGUGGCGAACGGGUGAGUAAUAUAUCGGAACGUACCGAGUAAUGGGGGAUAACCAAUCGAAAGAUUGGCUAAUACCGCAUACGUCCUAAGGGAGAAAGCGGGGGAUCGCAAGACCUCGCGUUAUUCGAGCGGCCGAUAACUGAUUAGCUAGUUGGUGGGGUAAAGGCCUACCAAGGCGACGAUCAGUAGCGGGUCUGAGAGGACGAUCCGCCACACUGGGACUGAGACACGGCCCAGACUCCUACGGGAGGCAGCAGUGGGGAAUUUUGGACAAUGGGGGCAACCCUGAUCCAGCCAUGCCGCGUGUAUGAAGAAGGCCUUCGGGUUGUAAAGUACUUUUGUUAGGGAAGAAAAGGGAAGUGCUAAUACCACUUUUUGCUGACGGUACCUAAAGAAUAAGCACCGGCUAACUACGUGCCAGCAGCCGCGGUAAUACGUAGGGUGCGAGCGUUAAUCGGAAUUACUGGGCGUAAAGCGAGCGCAGACGGUUACUUAAGCAGGAUGUGAAAUCCCCGGGCUUAACCUGGGAACUGCGUUCUGAACUGGGUAGCUAGAGUAUGUCAGAGGGGGGUAGAAUUCCACGUGUAGCAGUGAAAUGCGUAGAGAUGUGGAGGAAUACCGAUGGCGAAGGCAGCCCCCUGGGAUGAUACUGACGUUCAUGCUCGAAAGCGUGGGUAGCAAACAGG